rnacentral:lncRNA from 1 species
UUCACAAAAUCUGAACAACUAUGUAAAAAAACAAAAAUGGACCAAAAACCAACUAUAAAUUUGAAACCGUAAGACACCACAAUGUUAUAUAGACCAUAUUAUUUGUCCAAGACCAACAACUUUAAGUCCAUGACAAAUGGGAUAACACAAUUUAACUUCACAAAUAUAAUUCAAUAGUAUUAGUAAUAACUAUAUGCACAAC